GGUCGAGGAGAGGGAGAAGGCUGGAAAAGAUGGAACAAAAGAAAAAUUUAAAGCUCACCUCACAGUCAAGGAAAAAGUCCAUGGAACUAUACAGACACUGCUGGAUGAUUUUUCAGACCAACUUAACAAAAAAAUGGGAAAACACAUCUACAACAUCAUACAUCAGUAUUCUGCUCUCAGGGCCCUGAAGGAAAAUAUAAGCGGAGAUGAUAUUGUCUUGCAAAUUGAUUUUGCAGAAAACUAUUUAUGUAAAUAUGCAAAUGAGAUCCAAGCAGUACAUUUUGGUGAUUCCCACAGACAGGCCACUCUCCAUACAGGUGUGGCUCACACCAAAACUGGGGUGGUGUCUUUCUGUUCCAUUAGCUCAUCAAUGCGCCAUGACCCAUCAGCUAUCUGGGCUCAUCUCAACGCAGUGCUCCCCUACCUCAAAGCACUGAAACCAGCAGCAACCACACUGCAUGUCAUCAGUGAUGGGCCAACCACCCAGUACAGGUCCAAGAAAAACUUCUUUUUCUUAAGCAAAAUUCCCUUUCAGAUUGGAUUCAAAAGGAUCACAUGGAACUUUCUGGAGGCGGGACAUGGAAAAGGCCCAGCUGAUGGGAUUGGUGCAGCUGUUAAACGGCAGGCUGACUCAAUAGUGGCAAACGGCAUUGAUCUUCCAAAUGGAAGGGUGCUGUAUGAGGAACUCUCAAAACAGCCAUCUAAUGUGAAGCUGAUGUAUGUCACUGAGAAGGAGAUUGAGAAAAUGGACAGUCUCCUUCGUGAUGGCCUGCAGACUAUCCGAGGCACAAUGCAGAUACAUCAGGUAAUUUUCACCACAUCCAGAUCAGUUUUUUUAUGAGAAGGUGGUUUGAUGUGUGUAAAGCAUUUAUGUUUAUUCAUGUUUGUGUGUGUAAUCUGAAUACCAUGCGCUCCUCUAGAUUGUCUCUACAAGACCAGGAGAAAUAUCUUGGCGUAUUCUAAGCUGCUUUUGUUCAGAGCCCCAGCUUUGCAGAUGUUUUGGUC
rnacentral:lncRNA from 1 species